AAAGCCAUUUUUUCCCCGGAAAAAUUGGGGGGGGGGGGAAUUGAUAUAGUUUGAAUAUUCCACACACUUUUUUCCUUCUUCAUUUUUUCUGGGGAAAAAAUGGCUUU